rnacentral:rRNA from 1 species
GGGUUACGCAAGCGAAGCUCUUGAUCGAAGCCCCGGUAAACGGCGGCCGUAACAAUAACGGUCCUAAGGUAGCGAAAUUCCUUGUCGGGUAAGUUCCGACCUGCACGAAUGGCGUAACGAUCUCCCCGCUGUCUCCAGCAUCGGCUCAGUGAAAUUGAAUUCCCCGUGAAGAUGCGGGGUUCCUGCGGUCAGACGGAAAGACCCCGUGCACCUUUACUGUAGCUUUGCGCUGGCCUUCGUGUCGGCAUGUGUAGGAUAGGUGGUAGGCUUUGAAGCGCGGGCGCCAG